AUGGUGUUCUACUUCACUAGCCACAGCGAUAAUUCAUCUGCUUACACUAUUUACAUGGGAAAGGAUAAAUACAAAAAUGAAGAUCUGAUUAAGUAUGGUUGGCCUGAAGAUAUUUGGUUUCAUGUGGACAAACUCUCUUCAGCUCAUGUAUACCUUCGAUUACAUAAGGGAGAAAACAUAGAAGACAUUCCAAAGGAGGUGCUGAUGGACUGCGCCCACCUUGUGAAGGCCAAUAGCAUUCAAGGCUGUAAGAUGAACAACGUUAAUGUGGUAUAUACGCUGUGGUCUAACCUGAAGAAAACAGCUGACAUGGAUGUGGGGCAGAUAGGCUUUCACAGGCAGAAGGAUGUAAAAAUUGUGACAGUGGAGAAGAACGUGAAUGAGAUCCUGAACCGAUUACAGAAGACCAAAUCAGAGCGGUUCCCAGACCUAGCAGCAGAGAAAGAAAGCAGGGACCGUGAAGAGAGGAAUGAGAAAAAAAGCCCAAGAUCAGGAAAUGAAAAGGAGAGAAAAAGAAGAAAAAGGAAAUGGAUGAACUUAGGAGCUAUUUCAUCACUAAUGAAAGUUGAAAAUAUGUCUUCAAAUCAGGAUGGCAAUGAUUCGGAUGAAUUCAUGUGA